rnacentral:snRNA from 1 species
GUACUCGCUUCGGCGGUACAUAUACUAAAAUUGGAACGAUACAGAGAAGAUUAUCAUGACCCUGCGCAAGGAUGACGUGCGAAAUCGUGAUGAACUAAUCGAGCUA